GACGAACGCUGGCGGAGUGCUUAACACAUGCAAGUCGAGCGGAGCGGCGAACGGGUGAGUAACGCGUGAGUAACUGCCCCCCUCUCUGGGAUAACAGUUGGAAACGGCUGCUAAUACCGGAUAGUGGGGGAUGACUCGCGUCCUAUCAGCUUGUUGGUGGGGUAGUGGACUACCAAGGCGACGACGGGUAACCGGCCCGAGGGGGCGACCGGCCAAAUGGGGCGGAGAUACGGCACAAACCCCUACGGGAGGCAGCAGUGUGGAAUAUUGCACAAUUGGGCAAACCCUGAUGCAGCAACGCGCGUGCGGGAUGACGGCCUUCUGGUUGUAAACCGCUUUCAGCCAUGACGCGGUAGUGGCAGAAGAAGCACCGGCUAACGACGUGCCAGCAGCCGCGGUAAUUC
rnacentral:rRNA from 1 species